rnacentral:misc_RNA from 1 species
GAUGAAGAACGCAGCGAAAUGCGAUAAGUAAUGUGAAUUGCAGAAUUCAGUGAAUCAUCGAAUCUUUGAACGCACCUUGCGCCCUUUGGCUAUUCCGAAGGGCAUGCCUGUUUGAGUAUCAUGAACACCUCAACUCUCAUGGUUUGCCAUGAUGAGCUUGGACUUUGGGGGUCUUGCCGGCCUAUGGGUCAGCUCCUCUCAAAUUAAUCAGCUUGCCAGUGUUUGGUGGCAUCACAGGUGUGAUAACUAUCUACGCUUGUGGUUUUCCAUCAGGUAACCUUCAGUGAUGGAGGUUCGCUGGGGCUCAUAAAUGUCUCUCCUCAGUGAGGACAGCUUUUUUGAACGUUUGAUCUCAAAUCAGGUAGGACUACCCGCUGAACUUAAGCAUAUCAAUAAGCGGAGGA